UACGAAGGGGGCUAGCGUUGUUCGGAAUUACUGGGCGUAAAGCGCAUGUAGGCGGAUAUUUAAGUCAGGGGUGAAAUCCCGCAGCUCAACUGCGGAACUGCCUUUGAUACUGGGUAUCUUGAGUAUGGAAGAGGUGAGUGGAAUUCCGAGUGUAGAGGUGAAAUUCGUAGAUAUUCGGAGGACCACCAGUGGCGAAGGCGGCUCACUGGUCCAUUACUGACGCUGAGGUGCGAAAGCGUGGGGAGCAAACAGG
rnacentral:rRNA from 1 species